rnacentral:rRNA from 1 species
UAAGCGGAGGAAAAGAAACUAACAAGGAUUCCCCUAGUAACUGCGAGUGAAGCGGGAAAAGCUCAAAUUUAAAAUCUGGUGGCCUUUGUCCAUCCGAGUUGUAAUUUAGAGAAGCGUCUUCCGCGCUGGACCGUGCACAAGUCUCCUGGAAUGGAGCGUCGUAGAGGGUGAGAAUCCCGUCUUUGGCACGGACACGCCAGGGCUUCUGUGAUGCGCUCUCAAAGAGUCGAGUUGUUUGGGAAUGCAGCUCAAAAUGGGUGGUGAACUCCAUCUAAAGCUAAAUAUUGGCGAGAGACCGAUAGCGAACAAGUACCGUGAGGGAAAGAUGAAAAGCACUUUGGAAAGAGAGUGAAACAGUACGUGAAAUUGUUGAAAGGGAAACGCUUGAAGUCAGUCGCGUCGGCCGAGACUCAGCCUUGCCUCAGCUCGGUGUACUUCUCAGUCGACGGGUCAGCAUCAAUUUUGCCCCUUGNAUA